ACCUACAGCGCCAGCUGUCCAAGGCCAACGCUGAUGUCCAGCUCUGGCGCUCUAAGU
rnacentral:miRNA from 1 species